rnacentral:rRNA from 1 species
UACGUAGGGUGCGAGCGUUAAUCGGAAUUACGGGGCGUAAAGCGUGCGCAGGCGGCGCGUUAAGACAGGUGUGAAAGCCCCGAGCUUAACUUGGGAAUUGCGCUUGUGACUGGCGUGCUGGAGUGUGGCAGAGGGAGGUGGAAUUCCACGUGUAGCAGUGAAAUGCGUAGAGAUGUGGAGGAACACCGAUGGCGUAGGCAGCCUCCUGGGCCAGCACUGACGCUCAUGCACGAAAGCGUGGGGAGCAAACAGG